rnacentral:rRNA from 1 species
AAUAAACGCUGGCGGCGUGCCUAACACAUGCAAGUCGAGCGAGAAAGCUCCUUCGGGAGUUAGUAAAGCGGCGAACGGGUGAGCAACACGUGAGAAUCUACCCUUUAGUGAAGAAUACCCUCGAGAAAUCGAGGCUAAUACUGCAUACGUCCCUUCGGGGAGAAAGAUGGCCUCUUUGCUAUCGCUAAAGGAUGAGCUUGCGUACUAUUAGCUAGUUGGCGGGGUAAAGGCCCACCAAGGCAAUGAUGGUUAACCGGCCUGAGAGGGUGUACGGUCACACUGGAACUUAGACACGGUCCAGACUCCUACGGGAGGCAGCAGUGAGGAAUCUUGCGCAAUGGGCGAAAGCCUGACGCAGCGACGCCGCGUGGAGGAUGACGGUUUUCGGAUUGUAAACUCCUGUUAAGCGGGAAGAAAGCCUUGUUUCUAAUACAAGCAAGGUAUGACGGUACCGCUAGAGAAAGCACCGGCUAACUUCGUGCCAGCAGCCGCGGUAAGGUCGUCAU